ACCGUCAGGAACCCACCGGGCGCUGCCCGUCCGCACCAGCCGCUGUAACCCGCUGCCAACGAGCCUCCUGCAAGUAGGGUGGCAGCUGCAGCCCACAGACCCGGACACCGCUGCUGGCUGCCGGGGGCCCGCAGCCCGGAGACGCUGCCCCUCAGGGAACGCCGAGCACCCGCAGCCAGUGCCACUCUCCAGGCCGCCAUCUUCCCGGAAGCCGCUACAGAGCCAACGCAGAACUCACACGGAGCCCUCUGCUACCGAGCCGGCCAGAGCCGCGCUAGGGAGCAUGCGCAAUGGAGGAGUGAAGCCUCUGCCCUUACUUUGCCCUCAGUUCCACUAACCACAAGUGCGCAGAGGGACCCGCGGGGGUGGCGCAGGAAUUCCCUCAGCAUCAGUGCUAGGCUUGUGUGUGACUCCCCUCUCGGCCCUCCAGCCCGGUGUCUGUGCCUGCCCCACAGAGCCCACUCCUGCCCUGGCGCAUGGGGUGUCCAUCAAGUCACCCCCCACCACACAAUGAAACAGAAUAGUGCCAGGGAGCAACAAAUAGGCAAAGGAAGGACUGCUGAGCCGAGAUGGGAACCACAUAUCAAGGAAAGAGCAUCUUUGGAUACAGACUGGCUAACCUGUGAGGAGGCUUUGAACUAGAUUCAAUGGGGGCAGGAGACAAAAGCCCACAGGGCUAAUUACAGGGAGCUGAUCAGGCUGACUGGCUGAUAUCCAACCAGGUCCUCAAAAGUUCUGGAUCCACAUUGCUUAUUGAAAGAAAUGAGACUCAAGG